AACCUUCGCAAUGCGCGCAAGCGCGACGAGGUUAUUCUGAGUGAUUCCCGCUGAGGGAAUCUUCUCCUAGAUCUAAAAAGUCUGGGGAAUAAGGGGAGGGCAAGUCUGGUGUCAGCCGCCGCGGUAAUACCAGCUCCUCGAGUGGUCAGGGCGUUUAUUGGGCCUAAAGCAUCCGUAGCCGGCUCAGUUGGUCUCCUGUUAAAUCCAACGGCUCAACCGUUGGUCUGCAGGAGAUACCGCUGGGCUAGGAGGCGGGAGAGGCGGACGGUACUCCGAGGGUAGGGGUAAAAUCCUUUGAUCCCCGGAAGACCACCAGUGGCGAAGGCGGUCCGCCAGAACGCGCUCGACGGUGAGGGAUGAAAGCUGGGGGAGCGAACCGGAUUAGAUACCCGGGUAGUCCCAGCCGUAAACGAUGCGAGCUAGGUGACACAACGCCUUCGGGGCGUUGUGGUGCCGCAGGGAGGCCGUUAAGCUCGCCGCCUGGGGAGUACGGACGCAAGUCUGAAACUUAA
rnacentral:rRNA from 1 species